AUGAGUAUCCUCGUGUGGAACUGUCAUGGUGCUGGCAAACUAGCGACAACUCGAGAGCUUUGCAAUAUGGCGAAGCAGUUUGUCCCCUCUAUUGUAUGCAUUGUUGAAACUCAAUUAGAGGGUAGUCGUGUGGAAAACUUAGCUGAAACACUUGGUUAUAAUAAAGGUUUUGUUGUUAGCAGAUCUCGUACAAGUGGUGGUUUAGGUGUUUUUUGGAAUGAUUCAAUAAAGGUUGAGAUUACCGGUUACUCUGAGUACCAUGUGGAUAUUGAAGUGGAUUCAUUAGUAGGUGUUCACGCAAGGUUUACUUUCAUGUAUGGAGAGGCCCAGGUAAACGAGAGGUUCAAAACAUGGAAUAUGUUGACGGGCAUAACUAGAUCAAGCUCUAUACCAUGGGCAGCUUUGGGGGACUUUAAUGAAGUUCUGAGAGCAGAUGAACAUGACAGAGUUGGUAACUGA
rnacentral:rRNA from 1 species